ensembl:lncRNA
GUUGUCUCCUUCUAUAGCCUGCUCUCAGAUCUGUUGUCUCCUUCUAUAGCCUGCUCUCAGAUCUGUUGUCUCCUUCUAUAGCCUGAUCUCACAUCUGUUGUCUCCUUCUAUAGCCUGAUCUCAGAUCUGUUGUCUCCUUCUAUAGCCUGCUCUCAGAUCUGUUGUCUCCUUCUAUAGCCUGCUCUCAGAUCUGUUGUCUCCUUCUAUAGCCUGCUCUCAGAUCUGUUGUCUCCUUCUAUAGCCUGCUCUCAGAUCUGUUGUCUCCUUCUAUAGCCUGCUCUCAGAUCUGUUGUCUCCUUCUAUAGCCUGCUCUCAGAUCUGUUGUAACCAAAGGGUCGUUCUACUAAUUCGGUGCCUUUUGAAAACGUUUUGACUUCACCUCAUUUUAACAUUCUGUCAUAAAGAGGACAUGUUGAACUUCAUUAAGUUUCCCCAUCUCAACAGGUUAAAGACGGAAAUUACUAUAGCAAGUGCCAAAUAAUGUAACGGGGUUGACCGUAACGGGGUGGGGUUGACCCUAAUCAGGGUUGACCGUAACGGGGUUGACCCUAAUCGGGGUUGACCCUAAUCGGGGUUGACCCUAAUCGGGGUUGACCGUAACGGGGUUGACGAUGUCAUCUUAAAUCAGCCAUGAAUCCCCUUGUGACAGGGGGAAUGGAAGCUUGUUACUGUAUGUGCAACAGGCUUCCCAAAACAUUUUAAUUGUUAAAACAUUUUUAGACUGUCUGUCUGUUGGUAAAAGGGUUGACUUGUUACGCUCGACCCGCUCAGUUUUACUCCACAAAACACCAGAAAAUGGCCAGAAAGAAUAGAACCAGCUCACCUGUUUUGACAUUAUGAUUUGACUACUAGAUGUUCAAUGUCUCUUUGGGAAGAAAUAUUUAAAAUGGGAAUAUUUUCACCAAAUUAAAAUGAGAGUUCAAUUCACUUAACAGGGUUAACCUUAAAACUGAGGGACUGAAUCACUAAUCACAAUAAAAUAACGAGGGCUUUACAAUGAUGGAGAAAUGUUGGGAUGAAGGGGGUUUAAUCUUCUUAGAAGUCGGAGAGGGUGCACGGAGGGACAUUUCAAAAUGCCGAAGUCUAUUCCUAUUAAAUCAGAUUUAUUGAAUUCUCCAUGUGGUCUAUAUUAAAUGGCACUACAUUUAAUAUAACAGGCUUUUUAAAAUUCAAUAUUGGUGCUCAAUUUAUACCUGAAAUAUCAAAGGGAACCCCUCAUUUCGUGGAAUGACCCCAAAAAACAGUGGAAACUCUUGGAUACACUCCCCUGGAAGUACCGCAUAAAUGUAACUGUCUGAAGCUUGUGCAGUGGGUCGUCUUUUAUGUGUCUCGAUCUGUCCAUCUUUGCGUUAUGGUCAUUGUAGAGCAGGAAAGAUAUGACUGGACAUUUCCAUUCAUGAUGUGUGUAAAUGUUUUCCAUAU